rnacentral:tRNA from 1 species
CACAUAUUCUAAAACCUU